AGCGAACGCUGGCGGCAGGCUUAACACAUGCAAGUCGAGCGCCCCGCAAGGGGAGCGGCAGACGGGAGAGUAACACGUGGGAACAUACCUUUUGGUUCGGAACAACUGAGGGAAACUUCAGCUAAUACCGGAUAAGCCCUUACGGGGAAAGAUUUAUCGCCGAAAGAUUGGCCCGCGUCUGAUUAGCUAGUUGGUGAGGUAACGGCUCACCAAGGCGACGAUCAGUAGCUGGUCUGAGAGGAUGAUCAGCCUCACUGGGACUGAGACACGGCCCAGACUCCUACGGGAGGCAGCAGUGGGGAAUAUUGGACAGUGGGGGCAACCCUGAUCCAGCCAUGCCGCGUGAGUGAUGAAGGCCUUAGGGUUGUAAAGCUCUUUUGCCCGGGAAGAUAAUGACGGUACCGGGAGAAUAAGCCCCGGCUAACUUCGUG
rnacentral:rRNA from 1 species